rnacentral:rRNA from 1 species
CACGUGCUACAAUGGCAUAUACAAUGAGACGCAAUACCGCGAGGUGGAGCAAAUCUAUAAAAUAUGUCCCAGUUCGGAUUGUCCUCUGCAACUCGAGAGCAUGAAGCCA